rnacentral:rRNA from 1 species
GACGAACCUUGCAAACGUUAUUCGGAAUUACUGGGCUUAAAGGGUGCGUAGGCGGUGCAGAAAGUCGGGUGUGAAAGCCCUCAGCUCAACUGAGGAAUUGCGCCCGAAACUACUGUGCUAGAGGAAGAUAGAGGUGAGCGGAACUCAGGGUGGAGCGGUGAAAUGCGUUGAUAUCCUGAGGAACACCGGUGGCGAAAGCGGCUCACUGGGUCUUAUCUGACGCUGAGGCACGAAAGCUAGGGUAGCGAACGGG